AAACCAUGAUGAGGACACUAUCUUAAUAAAUCUUUGAAUCUGUUUCAUACUUCAAAUAGUGAUUCUCCAUCUGUCUGAGAAAAAUUUGUGAUGCAAUUUCCCAUGUAC